GAUGAAGAACGUAGCGAAAUGCGAUAACUAAUGUGAAUUGCAGAAUUCAGUGAAUCAUCGAGUCUUUGAACGCACAUUGCGCCCCCUGGUAUUCCGGGGGGCAUGCCUGUCCGAGCGUCAUUGCUGCCCUCAAGCACGGCUUGUGUGUUGGGCUCCGUCCCCCCGGGGACGGGCCCGAAAGGCAGCGGCGGCACCGAGUCCGGUCCACGAGCGUAUGGGGCUUUGUCACCCGCUCUGGAGGCCCGGCCGGCGCCAGCCGACAACCCAUCAUCCUUUUCAGGUUGACCUCGGAUCAGGUAGGGAUACCCGCUGAACUUAAGCAUAUCAAUAAGCGGAGGA
rnacentral:misc_RNA from 1 species